rnacentral:rRNA from 1 species
AGUGAACGCUGGCGGCAGGCCUAACACAUGCAAGUCGAGCGGUAGCACAGGGAGCUUGCUCCUGGGUGACGAGCGGCGGACGGGUGAGUAAUGUCUGGGAAACUGCCUGAUGGAGGGGGAUAACUACUGGAAACGGUAGCUAAUACCGCAUAACGUCGCAAGACCAAAGAGGGGGACCUUCGGGCCUCUUGCCACCAGAUGUGCCCAGAUGGGAUUAGCUAGUAGGUGGGGUAACGGCUCACCUAGGCGACGAUCCCUAGCUGGUCUGAGAGGAUGACCAGCCACACUGGAAGUGAGACACGGUCCAGACUCCUACGGGAGGCAGCAGUGGGGAAUAUUGCACAAUGGGCGCAAGCCUGAUGCAGCCAUGCCGCGUGUAUGAAGAAGGCCUUCGGGUUGUAAAGUACUUUCAGCGGGGAGGAAGGUGUUGAGGUUAAUAACCUCAGCAAUUGACGUUACCCGCAGAAGAAGCACCGGCUAACUCCGUGCCAGCCGCCGCCGUAA